rnacentral:rRNA from 1 species
AUUGAACGCUGGCGGCAUGCUUUACACAUGCAAGUCGGACGAGUGGCGAACGGGUGAGUAAUGCAUCGGAACGUACCUAGUAGAGGGGGAUAACUGUCCGAAAGGACAGCUAAUACCGCAUACUAUUCGAUCGGCCGAUGUCGGAUUAGGUGGUUGGCGGGGUAAAGGCCCACCAAGGCGACGAUCAGUAGCUGGUCUGAGAGGAUGACCAGCCACACUGGGACUGAGACACGGCCCAGACUCCUACGGGAGGCAGCAGUGGGGAAUUUUGGGCAAUGGGCGCAACCCUGAUCCAGCCAUGCCGCGUGAAUGAAGAAGGCCUUCGGGUUGUAAAGGACUUUUGGCAGUGAAGCGGUACCUGAAGAAUAAGCACCGGCUAACUCCGUGCCAGCAGCCGCGGUAAUUC